UCCAGACUCCUACGGGAGGCAGCAGUGGGGAAUAUUGGACAAUGGGGGGAACCCUGAUCCAGCGACGCCGCGUGAGUGAAGAAGUAUUUCGGUAUGUAAAGCUCUAUCAGCAGGGAAGAAAGAAAUGACGGUACCUGACUAAGAAGCCCCGGCUAACUACGUGCCAGCAGCCGCGGUAAUACGUAGGGGGCAAGCGUUAUCCGGAUUUACUGGGUGUUAAGGGAGCGUAGACGGCGAUGCAAGUCUGAAGUGAAAGGCGGGGGCCCAACCCCCGGACUGCUUUGGAAACUGUAUAGCUGGAAUGCAGGAGAGGUAAGUGGAAUUCCUAGUGUAGCGGUGAAAUGCGUAGAUAUUAGGAGGAACACCAGUGGCGAAGGCGGCUUACUGGACUGUAACUGACGUUGAGGCUCGAAAGCGUGGGGAGCAAACAGGAUUAGAUACCCCUGUA
rnacentral:rRNA from 1 species